UUCGCCCUUAGAGUUUGAUCAUGGCUCAGGAUGAACGCUGGCGGCGUGCCUAAUACAUGCAAGUCGAGCGAACAGAUGAGAAGCUUGCUUCUCUGAUGUUAGCGGCGGACGGGUGAGUAACACGUGGGUAACCUACCUAUAAGACUGGGAUAACUCCGGGAAACCGGGGCUAAUACCGGAUAAUAUAUUGAACCGCAUGGUUCAAUGUUGAAAGACGGUUUCGGCUGUCACUUAUAGAUGGACCCGCGCCGUAUUAGCUAGUUGGUAAGGUAACGGCUUACCAAGGCAACGAUACGUAGCCGACCUGAGAGGGUGAUCGGCCACACUGGAACUGAGACACGGUCCAGACUCCUACGGGAGGCAGCAGUAGGGAAUCUUCCGCAAUGGGCGAAAGCCUGACGGAGCAACGCCGCGUGAGUGAUGAAGGUCUUAGGAUCGUAAAACUCUGUUGUUAGGGAAGAACAAAUCUGUUAGUAACUGAACAAGUCUUGACGGUACCUAACCAGAAAGCCACGGCUAACUACGUGCCAGCAGCCGCGGUAAUACGUAGGUGGCAAGCGUUAUCCGGAAUUAUUGGGCGUAAAGCGCGCGUAGGCGGUUUCUUAAGUCUGAUGUGAAAGCCCACGGCUCAACCGUGGAGGGUCAUUGGAAACUGGGGAACUUGAGUGCAGAAGAGGAGAGUGGAAUUCCAUGUGUAGCGGUGAAAUGCGCAGAGAUAUGGAGGAACACCAGUGGCGAAGGCGGCUCUCUGGUCUGUAACUGACGCUGAUGUGCGAAAGCGUGGGGAUCAAACAGGAUUAGAUACCCUGGUAGUCC
rnacentral:rRNA from 1 species